AUUGAACGCUGGCGGCAGGCCUAACACAUGCAAGUCGAACGAGUGGCGGACGGGUGGGUAAUGUCUGGGAAACUGCCUGAUGGAGGGGGAUAACUACUGGAAACGGUAGCCAAUACCGCAUUCCACCAGAUGUGCCCAGAUGGGAUUAGCUUGUUGGUGGGGUAACGGCUCACCAAGGCGACGAUCCCUAGCUGGUCUGAGAGGAGGAACAGCCACACUGGGACUGAGACACGGUCCAGACUCCUACGGGAGGCAGCAGUGGGGAAUAUUGGACAAUGGGCGCAAGCCUGAUGCAGCCAUGCCGCGGGUAUGAAGAAGGCCUUCGGGUUGUAAAGUACUUUCGGCGGGGAGGCGUUACCCGCAGAAGAAGCACCGGCUAACUCCGUGCCAGCAGCCGCGGUAAUUC
rnacentral:rRNA from 1 species